AUGGUGGAGGGCUCCGCGUCCGACAUCGCCAACCUGAAGUUCCUCCUCCUGUGCUUCCAACAGAUGUCCGGCCUCACCAUCAACUUCGACAAGAGCGAAGUGAUGGUCCUCGGCUACCCCCCGGACGAUGCUUUGUCCAUUGCGGACCGGCUGAACUGCCGCCUGGGCUCCUUCCCCACGACUUACUUGGGGCUGCCCAUUAGUGACUCCAGACUCACCGUCGCGGAUCUCCGCCCGACGGUGACUAGGAUGCAGCAUAGGGUUGAACCCUGGAGGGGACGCUGGCUGUCGAAAGCUGCCAGGGUGAUUCUAAUCAACUCCUCGCUUGCCAGCCUUCUCUGGUUUCUCAUGAGCUUCUACAGCCUUCAUGAGACCCUCCAUCAGGAGGUGGCCAAAUACCGGUCGAGGUUCUUCUGGGCUGGUGAGGGCGACAAGCAGAAGUACCAUAUGGUGAGCUGGCCCGACAUCUGCAAACCUAAAGACCAGGGUGGCCUUGGGAUCCUGUCAUCCCGACGCAUGAACAUUGCCUUCCUGACCCGAUGGCUGUGGCGUAUUGCCAAUGGGGAGGGAGGCCUCUGGCUC
rnacentral:rRNA from 1 species